CUAUGCCAGAUGAAUGUGACCCCCGGGUGACAGGUGGUUACCAAGGGAUGCUUGAAAACAGACCUGCCAGGUACACCUGAGGCUUGGGUGUGUUUGUCGGGGUGUCUCUCUUGCUCUGACAGGCGGCGUCUUUAGGGAGGAUGGGUGUCGGUCUGCGUGCAGCUGUCACACUUGGUAAUGGCCUUUACCAGAAACCUCUCCCCCGACUGCAUCUGCAUGUUCACAACACAGUAACUCACAUUAAAGGAGAUGACAAUAAAGGUAUGACUGGUACAACAGCAGCUUCUCCAGCUGAGCCUCGGGGAAAAUCUGUGAUUGAGCCGCAAGGAAAGGCCGCAGAUUCUCCACUACGUUGGCCAGAAUUUUCAGCAGCGCCAGCUCAUCCUGGAAUCCAGACCAUAGCUUUGCCAGUGCUGUGAAGAGUGGCUGAGAGCCAGAACAUGGAAUGAAAGAUCAACAGGCACAAUUCUCAUGAGAAAUACUGCAACCAAGAUAACUGCAGUUUUUCAAAUGAGAAGAAGCUGCAAUUCUUUUUUCUCUUCAGAAGGGGUUACUGAUGUUUUGCGUGAAAAUAAUUACAUUAUCAUUAUGAUCAUAUGUCUAUAUUAUCAAUAACAAUUAAAAGUAUUGUUAUAAUAAAUUAUUCAAUAAUGUUUGUGUGCUCGUCUUGAAUAUCAAUUCAAAACAUGGUUAAAAUUACAAUCGAAACACUUCUCACCUUCAGUCCUUCCUGUGAGAGUCUGAACCUUGUCACAGUAUGCAUGCUGCAUCUGUAACAGGA